rnacentral:tRNA from 1 species
GCCGCCUUAGCUCAGUCGGUAGAGCAACGCACUCGUAAUGCGUAGGUCAUCGGUUCGACUCCGAUAGGCGGCUCCG